GAUGAACGCUGGCGGCGUGCCUAAUACAUGCAAGUCGAGCGAACAGACGAGGAGCUUGCUCCUCUGACGUUAGCGGCGGACGGGUGAGUAACACGUGGAUAACCUACCUAUAAGACUGGGAUAACUUCGGGAAACCGGAGCUAAUACCGGAUAAUAUAUUGAACCGCAUGGUUCAAUAGUGAAAGACGGUUUUGCUGUCACUUAUAGAUGGAUCCGCGCCGCAUUAGCUAGUUGGUAAGGUAACGGCUUACCAAGGCGACGAUGCGUAGCCGACCUGAGAGGGUGAUUGGCCCACCGGGAACGUGGACACGGUCCAGGCUCCUAAGGGAGGGCGCAGUAGGGAAACCUCCGCAAUAGGGGAAAAGCUUGCGGAGCAACCGCGCGUGAGAGAUUGAGGUCCUCCGAUCGGUAAACUCUGUUUUUAGGGAAGAACAAAUUUUUAAGUAACUAUGCACGUCUUGACGGUACCUAAUCAGAAAGCCACGGCUAACUACGUG
rnacentral:rRNA from 1 species